rnacentral:misc_RNA from 1 species
GUCCGGCUGGUCUUUCACAUGUCUAUUAGAACAAAGAUUGCAGGCCAGUCAGCCUGACAAUCGUGCCUACAAUGCGCGGACUGCCGCCUACGUUUCUCUUUCUUUGUAAAUGAUCGCUCACGCAUGAGCGCCCCUUUGGGGCUGUGCUCCGCGGGGGCGCGGCACGAGCCGCGACGACCGGUCGGUCUUGCGGGCUUCGCCCGGCAGGAUGCCAGGAUCGGAUGUGUUAGCGAGAUCAAGCCGGGCUUGUAGCUCAGUUGGUUAGAGCGCGCGCUUGAUAAGCGUGAGGUCGGAGGUUCAAGUCCUCCCAGGCCCACCAUUCCUAUACCUACGGGGGCGUAGCUCAGCUGGGAGAGCACCUGCUUUGCAAGCAGGGGGUCGUCGGUUCGAUCCCGUCCGCCUCCACCAAGGUUUGUCUGGUCAUUUACAGGAAGAAUCAAGUUUGCGGCUUGCCGGAUUGAGGUCCGGCGGUUGCGUGUUCUGUAUGAAAUCGUGAAGAGAAGAUAGAUUCGGAUUGUUCCGGAUGUUCAAGGGUUUGCACCGUCGGUGCGGGUCCGCCGGCCUUUGGCCAUGAACGCCGGACAAUGUCGCAGGGGUGCUCAUCAAAAGCCCUUGCAGAUGAUUGGCCGCUUAACCGCAGAGCCAUCGGAUUUAUCUCGAGAAGCUGGUCUUUUUUGUCAAAUCGAUUUUUUGCUGAGUGUUUGGUUGUCCAUUGGUAUCCCCCAUGGCGGCGCAAUGCUCGUGAAGGCAAGGAUGGAUAUUGGCAAUGAGAAUGAUCAAGUGUCUUAAGGGCAUUUGGUGGAUGCCUUGGCAUGCACAGGCGAUGAAGGACGUGAUACGCUGCGAUAAGCGUCGGGAGUGCG